rfam:Ixodes scapularis strain Wikel colony gcontig_1108378696874, whole genome shotgun sequence.
GCAGUCGUGGCCGAGUGGUUAAGGCGAUGACUAGAAAUUCAUUGGGGUCUCCCCGCACAGGUUCGAAUCCUGUCGACUGCG